UGGCGCUUUGUCUCUUGUAAUUAUCUACAAGCCGAAGGAGCUUUUCAUAAAACAAACACGUCCAAGAAAUAAACUGUACCAGUGACAAACCCGCUUUUCACAUAGCAAACCAACUUCUUCCCUUUAACCUCACGCUUUCCACAUGAACAUCAAAAAAGGAGCCUCAGUUUCCAUGAAAGGAACUUGUGCUUGCAAAAACUGAUCUGGAUUUGUUUGAUCCAAAGUUGUCUACAGUGGUUUGUCAUGUAAACGAUAAGUAUACCCACUUAGGAAAGUGUCUUGCAGUGCAAGACCUCUUCUACUUUUAGCAAUUGUAGCUUUUUAUCAAGACAGGCACUUUGAAAGCAUCUGGGUUUCUGUGCAGCCACUUGAUAUGAUAAUGCAGUCCUUUUCAUGCUCAAGUAUUUGUUAUUUAUGAGAGUUUGAUCUGGGUUUUUUUCCCAUGUGUUGUGUUGAACAAGGUGGUGUAGAAGAGGGGUUUAAAGGUUAGAUUUUUUUUUUUUUUUGCUUGAUGAUAUGAAUGUGAAGGGUGGUUCAGAUGUGGUGGUUGGAAAAUUGGUUGUUGUUGCGGUCAAGGCAUCGAAAGAGAUACCAAGAAGGGCUUUGGUCUGGGCUUUGACUCAUGUUGUUCAACCUGGGGAUUGCAUUAAGCUACUGGUGGUCAUCCCUGCUCACUCCUCAAGUAAAAAAUUGUGGGGUUUCUCAAGAUUCACCAGUGACUGUACUAAUGGUAACCGAAAGUCACUAUCAGGAACCAGAUUAGAUCAGAGAGAUGAUAUCUCAGAUUCGUGCUCCGAAAUGUUGCGUCAAAUUCAUGAUGUUUAUGACCCUCAAAAGAUAAAAAUCAGGGUCAAGGUCGUUUCUGGUUCACCAUAUGGAGUGGUAGCUGCUGAAGCCAAGAAAGCUUAUUCAAACUGGGUUAUAUUGGACAAACAUCUGAAACAUGAGAGGAAAUACUGCAUGGAAGAGUUACAAUGUAAUGUUGUGGUUAUGAAACGGAAUGAGCCAAAAGUACUUCGUUUGAAUUUGAUUGGAUCACCAAUGAUGCAACCUGAAGUAUCUUGGCCAUUGUCAUUUGAUGUAGAAGCAUUUUCAAAGGAUUUCGAGAGAAAGCAUCACCAGCUAGAUCUAUUAAAAGGUCCGUAUGUAACUCCAGCAAGUAGUCCAGAUCAUGAAUCAUCACUUACUGCAACAGAUGUUGGAACUUCCUCAAUAUCAAGCUCCGAUCCUGGGACUUCGCCAUUUUUUCUCUCUGGACUUUAUGGCAACCAGAAGAAAGAGCAUUUAUUAUUUGCAGAUGAAAAUCAAAGUCUAUAUGAAUCUGAUUCUGACACCGAUAGUGACAAACAGACUCCUUCUGUAAGAUUAUAUUUCCAGCCAUGGAUGGAUGAUAAUCUGAGUUCCAGUGAUGAACUUGCAAAACCUUUUGUGAAUAGUUUCCAAAAAACCAAGAAUGCUGCUCUGACAUCCACAUACAAAAGCUUGCUGGAAAAUUUGUCCAAAUUAGACAGAGAACCUGAUAUUGGAGUCCUGAACUAUAGACUAGAUGUAAACUUAAGCAAAAGUGUACGGGAAGCAAUUUCCUUGUCUUCACAUGUGCCUCCUGGUCCUCCUCCAUUAUGUUCAGUAUGUAGACACAAAGCUCCUGUAUUUGGAAAUCCUCCUAAAUGGUUUACUUAUGCGGAACUGGAAUUGGCUACAGAUGGAUUUUCAAAAGAAAAUUUCUUGGCUGAAGGUGGAUUUGGUUCUGUUCACCGAGGUGUUUUACCCGAUGGCCAGGUGGUUGCUGUCAAGCAACAUAAAUUGGCUAGUUCACAAGGUGAUCUAGAGUUUUGCUCAGAAGUUGAGGUUUUGAGCUGUGCACAGCAUUGUAAUGUUGUGAUGUUGAUUGGAUUCUGCGUGGAGGAUGGAAGAAGAUUGCUGGUUUAUGAAUAUAUUUGCAAUGGAUCUUUAGAUUCACAUCUUUUUGGACGUAAUCAAGAUUCAUUGUCAUGGUAUGCAAGACAAAAAAUUGCCGUUGGAGCAGCUAGAGGUUUGAGAUACCUUCACGAAGAAUGUAGAGUGGGCUGCAUCGUACAUCGUGACAUGAGGCCUAACAAUAUCCUCAUCACUCAUGAUUUUGAACCGUUGGUUGGAGACUUUGGACUCGCGAGAUGGCAGCCAAAGGGAGACAUGGGAGUGGAAACAAGAAUAAUUGGAACAUUUGGGUAUGCUUAUUGGAAGGUAUUUAGCUCCAGAAUAUGCUCAAAGUGGCCAAAUCACAGAAAAAGCUGAUGUCUAUUCUUUUGGAGUAGUAUUGGUGGAGCUAGUUACAGGACGGAAAGCUAUCGAUAUAAAACGACCUAAAGGCCAGCAGUGCCUAACAGAAUGGGCACGCCCACUGUUAGAAAAGCAAGCCAUUAACGAAUUGGUUGACCCGCGCUUAAUGAAUUGCUAUUCAGAAAAAGAGGUGCAUAACAUGCUGCAAUGUGCUGCAUUGUGCAUUUGCCGCGAUCCUCAUUCAAGGCCUCGGAUGUCUCAGGUACUUCGGAUGUUGGAAGGUGACAUAGUCAUGAAUUCAAGCAAUCACGUAUGAACUUAUGGAUGUAGCAACAAAAGCAGUUGCGGAAAGAACAAUAGCAACUGACAAAAAGGCCUUGUAGACGGGUUGCAGAGCUUAAUUUGGGUGAAAGCAAAGCAGAGUUUUGAUUAUGAGCUUCUUUAAAUUACUUUUUAAGUGGUAAUCAACAUUUUGUUAGCUCGUGAAUUAUAGAUUCUUGGAUGUAUAGUUGUAAUUAUGGAUGUGAAGGUUGUUAGCCAUGUAUUAUUUCCUCCUUGAUUCUAGAUUUAAUUUAUUAUUCUCUCUCAAA